rnacentral:rRNA from 1 species
UAGUCCACGCCGUAAACGAUGUCUACUAGCCGUAGGGUUCCUUGAGGACUUUGUGGCGCAGCUAACGCACUAAGUAGACCGCCUGGGGAGUACGGCCGCAAGGUUAAAACUCAAAUGAAUUGACGGGGGCCCGCACAAGCGGUGGAGCAUGUGGUUUAAUUCGAUGCAACGCGAAGAACCUUACCAGGUCUUGACAUACAGUGAACUUAGCAGAGAUGCUUUGGUGCCUUCGGGAACACUGAUACAGGUGCUGCAUGGCUGUCGUCAGCUCGUGUCGUGAGAUGUUGGGUUAAGUCCCGCAACGAGCGCAACCCUCAUCCUUAGUUGCCAGCAUUUAGUUGGGCACUCUAAGGAAACUGCCGGUGAUAAGCCGGAGGAAGGUGGGGAUGACGUCAAGUCCUCAUGGCCCUUACAAGCUGGGCUACACACGUGCUACAAUGGCGAUGACAGUGAGCAGCUAACCCGCGAGGGCAAGCUAAUCUCUAAAAGUCGU